UUUCCAUUUGCUAAAGUGUCAUUUCCUACCCCCACCCCAAACUAUGAUUUUAAUGGUAAGAGUGAGGAAAUAUCUGACAGUAAAAUAUUCCCUUCCAGCCAAACACCUGCUCCCUACCUCCCAUGUAGAAGAAUUACAGCCUCGACUCUGCGUUUUUCUUUCCCACAUCAAGAUCCCUACCCUAGGCCUGCUGAACUGGAAACCCUUUUAGUAUCAGCCCCCUUGGUGGUAGCAGGGUGUGUGGAUUCUGCGGGUAAGAUCUCCACUACUAAGCUCCACUACUGCGUGGGACCAUUAAUGAAUGCCUUAAAGACUCUGGUUAAGGUUGUAUCUUAAUAUCGCCUUGCUCAAGCUCUAGAAUAUUACCAUCUUCCUCAAAAGUAUUUGGUCUCUCCAUGUUAGAUAUAUUCUUCUGGUAAAUAAGGUAAGAACUUGCAGUAAGUUCACACAAAGCUGAUAAAUAUCAGUCGGUUACAGUCUCACCCCUGGCAAGUAGGGAAAUGGAAACUGUAGCUUCUUGAUAAAUGUAAUUAUCUCCUACCCAUGAUGUUGGGGUCAUUGCAAGUUGCUUAUGUGGUCAGUGGAAGAAAAUAUACAGUAUCUUUUUUCAGACUCUCCAUACACUAUUACAUACCUCUCUCAUACACACCUUUCCUAGUCAGGGACUAACAGGUGGAAGAGUAGUUACCUGUGUUACACUCCUAGACCUGAGUUCAAGUAAAUACAUUACAGUUUUUUCUCACUUUUUUAUUUGACUUAGGAGGAGUUGCUCUUCCUACAUCUCUGCUUCUCACUGUGUUAAAUCAAGUUGGAAACAGGAAGUGAUAAUGCACUGUCACUGGCUGAAUGACGAUUUGACUCUAAGUCCCAGGAAGGAACCCUCUUCCAGAAAACUCACCAUCAACUCUCCCCCUUUUCUCCUUCCAGCUGACCCAACCUGGACCUGUUGGAAACUUCUGUUUCACCACUAUGUCCCAGGGUCCCAAAUGCCCCAGGGUCCCAAAAAGAUUGACCCCUCUGACCUUUGAAAAUAUGAGCACAUGAGCUUGAGGCAGCAGGAAAAGAGGAAGUGGGCUUUGACUGAUUUACAAUUCGGGGAACUAACUCUUGCCCAUAGCUUCUAGUGUGGUUCUUUCCAAGAGCCAGACUACCACUUUUGCUCCUCUCCUUUUCUCAUUUCAGGACCCUCUUCCAAUCCAUCCAUACCCUUUCCAGUUUAUGUUAGUGAUAAAACAAGACUCCCCCAUCCUUUAAGGAGGUGGAGCAUCAGAAUCUUUUCAGAAUGGAGAUGGAGAGGAAAGGAUUCAGUUGUGGGACCCUCAUUUGUGAGACUCAAGCCCUUGUUCAAAAUCAUCUUCUCAGAUAAAUCCCCACCAGAUCUGCCCAGAAAGUUUAUCAGACCCUCGAUGGCUCAUGUCAUUUUGGUUCCAAAUGUUGCAGGUGAAUUUUGAACGCCACCUGAAAAAGUUAUUCUGACUUGUGACACAGAAUUCAUUACCGAUAGUUGGCUAUAAAUUACUAAAUUUAUAUUUAUAAUUGACUAUAUAAUCUCUAGCGCGUUUUUUUGCACCUCAGACUCACACUUAUUUCUGAUAAGCAUUAAUCAUAUAAGCAAUUAUUUCAUUCAUCUAUUAGCUUAGUAGGUGUCUUCCUUUCUUUUAGAAAAUUCAAUUGAGGAAAAUGGUGCAGGUUGAAUCUAAGAAAGGUAGAGGCAUUAACAUAGGGAAACUGGCCAGUAUGACACAGAGAAAGUCUCUUACAUAUGUGGUAUAGCUAAACUCUACAGAAGUUUCAGAUAAUCCAUAAAUAACUUGAACAAAUUGCUGGUAUUCAGAGCAUUAAAGAGCAAAGUAACCUGAUUAGAGUCUCUGCUAGCUUCCAGCCAACCAGUUUACCUUCCAAAAAAUGCAAAACAGUGUCUUGAGAUUAUGAGAUUCUUUUUCCCCUCUUUUCUAUCAUAAAUUUCACUUUUGCUUUUGGUUGUUGGCAGGAGUCUAAUGGUUGGGUCCCUCCUACAUAAGUAAACUUUUUGCAUGCUAAGGAUAAUAACGUCUCAGAAUUAUUUUUGGCUAACGUCUCUUUCUUCUUUCCACAUUCUUUUCUUUUCUUCCUCUUUUUCUUUCCGUCUUUGCCAUAGAAUGUAUAUUCUAUGAAACCAGGGACCACGCGUGUCUUCCUCACCAUGGUAUCUCCAGUUUCUAGUUCAGUAACUAGCAAGUUGGAGGCAUGCCUGGACACAUGUAAAAUAUGCAAAACACAUAUGUUAACUAUUUUUAAAAAUUAUGUAUGUGGGUGCUUACUGAUAUUUUUCCUGUUGCUCUUUGUUACCAUCCUUUUUUCUAAUAAUAAAAGCACACCUUUCCAAGGAAAGUCAAUCCAUGUGUUUGAAUAAAGCUGACUGCUUUUCUUCAGAUCUGGAUAGUGGAUACCAAGCCUGACAAGUCAGAGUGCCUCGUACAUCUGGCCAGAGCUGAUGGUUCUGGGAAGAGCUCUGCUCACUGGACAUUUGCUCAAACGAUUAGCCGAAAGCACUUUUUCUCCGGGAUCAGACAAUCUAAGGAUCAUGCAUUAAGAAGGGAAGUCGAACUGCUGUACCAAAUACCUUUAAAUUCUCAAUGGUUUCACAUAAAGUGUAUUCUUUGCUCCUGUCACUGUCCCUUGUAGGUUGAUGGCCAGCACAGUAGUGAUCCAUGCGGUAGGAGCUCAAGCUUGCUCCAUCCUGUAGUCCUUUCCCCUAGCUGCUUUCAAGGCUGAUGCAGAAAGGGAAGAAAGAGAAAGAGAUAGUAGAGAAGACACACUCUCCCUUGCUUGCCUCUUCCUGGAAGUAGCAUACUUCUGGUCCAUUGGCAGAAAUACAGUCCAUAUGGCAGUAAUAGCCCUAUGACCCCACUCAGAUGUAAAGAUGGGAGAGGGAAGCUGAAAAAUACAAACCAGUAGUGAACCAAGAAGAAGAAAGAGGAGGAAACAUCUAGCCAGUCUCUGCUGAUUGCCAUUUUAUCUCAGAGAUCCCACCAAAUGGGAAAAGUCUAAGAAUGAAGUUGAACAGAGAUAAGAAAGGGAGAAGGCAGGAGAAAGUAGAAAAGAGAGGAGAGAAAAAGGGGACGAUAAAUAAUCAGAAUCCUCGAAUCCAGUAAUGUUAAUAAUAUUCUUUUGUUUAAGUAAGUUUAAUUAGGGAUUCUGUCACCUAAAGCACUGGUUAACAUACUACUUUGUCCUGACCAUGUUAUGUCUAGCCCCUAGCUCAGUCCUUUGCAUGUAUUAGAUAAUCUAAAUAUUUUUGGUAUCAAAGAGCAUAAGAACGAAUACUUAAUAUUAACAGAUUGAGCUAAAACUGUGUGUAGUUAUUGGUGUGAUGUUAACUAACAAGCUUAUCUCUUACAUUAUUCCUAGAAAGUGUAGUCUCAGGUAACUAAUAAGUGUGCAACAUUUAUUCUAUUAUUGUAGUUCCUGUUUUCCUGUUGUCACUUACCUAUGAAUGUCACUUACCUGCUGGUCUAUGUAAAAACUGUCAACGCCUUUUAUCGGGGUGGGUAUACUAAAUAUAAAAUUUUUACAUUCAUAAUUAAUCAAAA